CCUACGGGCGGCAGCAGUAGGGAAUAUUGCUCAAUGGGGGAAACCCUGAAGCAGCAACGCCGCGUGGAGGAUGAAGGUUUUCGGAUUGUAAACUCCUUUUGUUAGAGAAGAUAAUGACGGUAUCUAACGAAUAAGCACCGGCUAACUCCGUGCCAGCAGCCGCGGUAAUACGGAGGGUGCAAGCGUUACUCGGAAUCACUGGGCGUAAAGGGCGCGUAGGCGGGAUAGCAAGUCAGAUGUGAAAUCCUAUGGCUUAACCAUAGAACUGCAAUUGAAACUGUUAGUCUAGAGUAUGGGAGAGGUAGGUGGAAUUCUUGGUGUAGGGGUAAAAUCCGUAGAGAUCAAGAGGAAUACUCAUUGCGAAGGCGACCUGCUAGAACAUAACUGACGCUGAUGCGCGAAAGCGUGGGGAGCAAACAGGAUUAGAUACCCCGGUAGUC
rnacentral:rRNA from 1 species